AAAUGUUAGUUAAUCUCUUCAUGUGAAAGUAAUUAAUUGAUUGUGAUUACGUUUGUUAAUUAAAUGCUUGAUGUUUGUCUGGAUUUAUCUUUAGGCCUUGGUGAUUGUUUUUUUUGUUGUCUCAUUAUCUUUUUCUAUUAACGGUUAUUAUUAGUUGAUUGUUAAUUAUCUCAUUUAUUUUCUUUUUGAUUUCUGUUAUUUUUUCUUUUAAAUGAUCCAUACAAGAAGAUAAACAAAAGAACAUCCAUUUUGGUAACAAGAGAAAAGAAAACAUGUAAGGAGAAUAGAAGAAACAAAAAAUUCUAUUUAGAAUAUGUAAUUCAAAUUAAUAGAUUAUAUCAAUGUGAUCCCUUUUAAACUUGACCUUCUUGCCGAGAUUGGAUUUUUUUUUCCUUCAUCUGUUGAUGGAUCUUAAUAUCAUCUUCUCAUCAUUUCUUCAUCAUCAAUAUGAUCAACAUCUAAUAGAGAAAGGCCAAGAGAAAAUACUAAUAUUAUAUACAUAUAAAUGAUGGACCAUCAAAGGGAAAAUCACGGAUCGUCUUCUUAACCAGGUCAAUUAGUCUUUCAACAGCAACAACAAUUAAACCUCAUCACAAAUUGGAAAUUUGUUUUUUUCUCUCUCUCUCUUUCUCUCAUCUUCUUCUUGGCUCCUUUAUUGGCCAUCAACUGAUUGUUCAAAUAAUAACAAUCAUGAUGAUAAUAAUUGUAAUACUAAUAAUCUCGAUACACAUUGAGAGUUGGCGGAUGAGAUUUUGAUUAUAAAAAAAGAUCAACCUUAAAGGGAAUACAGUCAAGAAUUGACCGGAGAAGUGCUAAUGAUGAUGACCAACAAUCAAUAUUGAUGCAAUUAUCUACAACUGAGUUUAGAAAAUGUUCAAAUUAAUUGAACUUGUAAAGGGUGAAUCACGAUCACCAAUUGAUUGAUUCUGAACAGAAAAAAUGAUUAGGUAAUCUUGUUGCAUUACCUUAUUUAAAUUAUUAAGUCAUCAUGAUGAUCAUCAAUGAUCAGUAAAUUGAAAACUGAUGAACAAGAAAACGGAGAUAAAGAGGAAAAAGCUCAAGAAGAUGAAGAAAUAUGAUAAAUAUGAAGACCAUUAUAAGAAUAGGAGAAGAAGAUCCAAGAAAAGAUAUAGAAAGGAAACUCAAGUUAAUUAGUUUCCUUCCUAUUUAAAGGUUACUUCAUGGUGGUUAAUUAUUUUACUUCAAUGAAUUAUUUAGCUAAUUGAUUCAGUGUAUAUAAAAAUGAGAGAGAGAGAGACUAGUGUGUGUCCCAUGGUAGCCAGUGUUCAUCACCAUGAUUAUCAUCACCUGAAUCAACAUAAUUACCAUGAAAAAAGAAGUUAAACCAAAGGUGAAUUGCGAAAAGCUGAAGGAAAAAUCAUCUAAUUAGCGAGAAUCGUUGAUACGAAUUUAGAAUUUAAAAUUAUUCUAACCAACUUUUCCACCACUUUAAAUAUUCAUAAUUCAUUGUCUAUUUUAAGAAGCUAAACUUUUCCAACGUUGAUGAGUAUUUAUAACAUAGCAACUUUAAGAAUCAUCAUCUUCUCAUCCUCCUUCUCAUCUCUUAAAUUUCUUGACAAUUUUUACCUUGUGUUUAACUAGAAUUAAUUUGAAUGUUACAACUACUGUCAAGACGAAGCUAAAUAAGCAUCAUCAUCAUCAUCAUCCAACAAAUUCCAAGAUUCAUCUUCCAAUGAGUGUUGAUAACUCUGAUUUCUCAUUACCAUGUCAAUUACCCUUCGUAAUGAUUGUAACAGUUAACAACCAUUAAGUUAUUAUAAGCCCGAUGUUUACAAGUGAUAAUUGUAAUCAAUUCAUUUAUCACCAUUUAAUUGUUAUUGUUUACAUUCUGAAACAAAGUAUCUGUUGAUGGUGAAAGGGAUAAAUUUGAUUUCUUGUAACAUCAAGGAUCACAUUUCAAUGAAAAUCAACAAAAAACUGGAACCAAAAUUUUCACCGAGAGAAAAACAAACUAAUCUAAACUAAAUGCCAAAAGAAGCAGCAAUUAAAAUUGACAAAAAUGACGUAGAUUAGUGUGUUUGUAUGUGAUUAUCCCCAUUUUGGAAUCACAAUCAGCAAUUAGUUAGUUAAUUGCUACGAAAAAUUGUCAACACAAAAAAAAGGAAGAAAAAAACUCAAUCUACUUCCAAGGUAAUCCUGUAAAUCUUAAAGCAACAAGUGAAUUUAAAUGUGACAAUUAAUUAAUACUCUUGAUUAUCUUAUUCUAUCCUUGAAACAUCAACACAAUUAACCAACUUUUCAAAUUAAAUCUUAAUCAUGAUUAUGUAAGAAAAAAAAGAAACGCCAACAAUUUAAGCAUUUGA